CCUACGGGAGGCAGCAGUAAGGAAUAUUGGUCAAUGGACGGAAGUCUGAACCAGCCAUCCCGCGUGCAGGAUGACAGUCCUAUGGAUUGUAAACUGCUUUUGGCAGAGACGAAAUGUUUUCAUUUAUGAAGAUUUGACGGUAUCUGCAGAAUAAGCACCGGCUAACUCCGUGCCAGCAGCCGCGGUAAUACGGAGGGUGCGAGCGUUAUCCGGAAUCACUGGGUUUAAAGGGUGCGUAGGCGGAAUAUUAAGUCAGUGGUGAAAGCCUGUCGCUUAACGAUAGAACUGCCAUUGAUACUGAUAUUCUUGAAUUGGGUUGAGGUUAGCGGAAUGUGACAUGUAGCGGUGAAAUGCAUAGAUAUGUCAUGGAACACCAAUUGCGAAGGCAGCUAGCUGGGCCUUGAUUGACGCUGAGGCACGAAAGCGUGGGUAGCGAACAGGAUUAGAUACCCUUGUAGUC
rnacentral:rRNA from 1 species